rnacentral:rRNA from 1 species
UGGGGAAUUUUGGACAAUGGGCGAAAGCCUGAUCCAGCAAUGCCGCGUGUGUGAAGAAGGCCUUCGGGUUGUAAAGCACUUUUGUCCGGAAAGAAAUCCUUGGCUCUAAUACAGUCGGGGGAUGACGGUACCGGAAGAAUAAGCACCGGCUAACUACGUGCCAGCAGCCGCGGUAAUACGUAGGGUGCAAGCGUUAAUCGGAAUUACUGGGCGUAAAGCGUGCGCAGGCGGUUUGCUAAGACCGAUGUGAAAUCCCCGGGCUCAACCUGGGAACUGCAUUGGUGACUGGCAGGCUAGAGUAUGGCAGAGGGGGGUAGAAUUCCACGUGUAGCAGUGAAAUGCGUAGAGAUGUGGAGGAAUACCGAUGGCGAAGGCAGCCCCCUGGGCCAAUACUGACGCUCAUGCACGAAAGCGUGGGGAGCAAACAGGAUUAGAUACCCUGGUAGUCCACGCCCUAAACGAUGUCAACUAGUUGUUGGGGAUUCAUUUCCUUAGUAACGUAGCUAACGCGUGAAGUUGACCGCCUGGGGAGUACGGUCGCAAGAUUAAAACUUAAAGGAAUUGACGGGGUCAUAGCUGUUCCU